CUGUCAUUAGGUUCCAUGCAGUUGUACUUAAACCAGUCGAGUGCAGCUUUUUUUAAAAUCAAAUAGAAUAAUAAGUUCUCACUCUAUAAUGCAUGAAGUGGUUUUCGCUAAACCACGAAUCAAAGCUGAGUUUGGCAGCGAAGCCCAGUGCUCCCACAGCCCAUGGAGCGAAGCAGCCAGCAGACUUCCUGCUCAGCUGGGGACACCUCCAGACAGCUUCUGCAGUCUCACCUGACCCAUCACAGUUGCAGCAUUACUGACAAGGGGAAGAAGUGGUCUUCUAGCGUUCAGAAGUCCAGAAAGGUUCAACAAAGUGAUUAUUGAAGAAAAACAGAAGCUCUGCUGAGCUUACAUUGAUGCCUUGAACAUUUCUCUCACUCAUUUUUUAUUUAUUACCUACUUAUUUACUCUAAUGAGCAACCUUGGUCAGAAUGAUUUGCGGACAAACAUGUCAUGUUGACUCCCUGUGACUGACCAUCAUGGGCAUUGACUUCUGGGCUUUGGAACAGCUGCUGCUUCCGUAGACUGUUGAGGCAUAAAAACCUCUUGGAAUAGGACUCAGAAGAUGUUUCUGUUUUUUUCAAUAAGCACGUGAAAUUCCCAGAUUGGGAUUGGAGCUAUGGAAUUUGUAUUUCUGUCAUAAUGUGUGGUCUCACCUGGGCGUACUCUACCCUUUUCCCUACACCAAAUGUGCAUAGCACAGUUGGGUCUGACUUGCCCAAGCUACCUCCUAAAAGUCAAGGUUGUCAGACACCAAGUGAUGUAUGAGCUCCAACAGCACUGCUCUGCAGUUGGUGACCUGCCUGCUCAGGGAGUUCAGGUCCACGGUUGGAUUAACAUCUCAUUCCUUCUGUAUGUCUGGAUAUCUGGAAUUGCCUUGACAUGUUGAAAGAAAUGCCAUCAAGCUUCUUUUACGUAUUUUGGAUGUGCUUUAAUUCUUAGUAUACUUCAGCUUCAUACCUGUUCUGUAAUAAUACAUCACAUUUGAAAUCACAGUGACAGUGGAUUAUCCAACUUCUGUGGAGUCAAAAUCAGAUGCAGCAUCUCUUGUACGUAGCGAAUUCAGGAUCACUCAGUGCAUAUGCUUCCUCCCUCCCUGACUAUUUUACUACCCUUGCAUAGUUGGUCUUCAUACAGGCGUUAACAGAGAACCAUUCAUAAUGUCAAAUGCUUAAAAUUUCCAAUCUCAGUAAGAAAGUUGCCAUCUUGUAGUCUUCCUGUUUGCUGGGACUUGCUCCUUUAAGGCAAAGAUGAAGCUUGAUGUAGCUUGUGUAGAGAAGUUUCCCAAAUUUCCAGAGAACCAACCGAAGGCUUUUAAUAGCUGCCUUCUUGUACUUGUGCUUACCUCACCUCUGCUCCGCAGGCAGUGCAUCUUCUCAUUGUGUCCUAGCCCUGAGGCUCUGACACAGAGCUGCCUCUAGCUUCACACCAUACCGGGCAGUGCGGCAGCCCUUCUAGCUGGCUCCUGCCAGCAAGGCCUGAAAUUGCCACUGCCCUCACAUUCGGCCUUUUGAUGGUUUCUUACUGAGCUCUAACAGAAACAACAAAUCUCCUUAUUUUGUUGCUAAGUCCAUGGUGUUUAAAUUGCACUGACUCUUUGGUCAGAGUUCAGCGCAGCAAACUGUAGGGAAUGGUUUUUGACUGAGAUGGAGCUUAGGAGAUGUAUUAUUUAUUGCAUUCAAUUUUGAAAUGUGGCAAGUGCUAUAAAAUGUUUUUUCCCCAGCUAACUCAAAGCUAUGAAGGAUAGAGAGCCUGCUUCAUUUCAAAUACCUUGCCUUGCCUGUUCUUGGUGGAACUGAAAAUAUGUUUAGAGGGUUAUUUUUUGGUUGUUAUUUUCCCAUGUAUUUGAUAACCCAUUAGAAGUCUUGGUCAGUUUCAAGAAGUAACUGGAAGAGAGUCACAAAAUGCUGCUCGUGUCAUUAGACAUUCUUACUUUAUAUAAAAAAUACUUCAUAUGAAUAAAAAGCUGAAUUUCUUUUAAAAUUUUAAGAUA
rnacentral:lncRNA from 1 species